AAUGUCGUUCCUGACUCGGUGAGUUGGUCUCACUGCAUGGUGGUGGCAUCAAUCCUGCUGCGAUGCUCAUCUUUUACCAACAAGCUAGUAGCAAUGAGCAAAUGUGCAACGAUGUGUACAGUAGAGAGGAGAAAGUGUGGCAGCCUCUCUUUUCAGUAAAGGGUGGAUCGGAGUGUCGAUUCCAUGGUUGCCAAAUGCUAUAUGAGCUAGCCUAUGGAACACCAGGUGCUCAUGGAGCUGGCUCCUUGGAAGCUCAGCCUCAGGCAAGUUAGAAUGAUGUGGAAGCUUGACUAGUUUUUUUCCCGGCAAGACAUGAUAUAAUUUGCAAUCAAAGGCUGCAAAUAAUUGAUUUUGCAUAUAGAUGUAUUUCUGAAAAGGGUGCAACUCUAUGCUAGAUUGCUCAUAAUCGAAGUUUUUGUCGGCCACUAGAUAUACAAGAGCUUUGGGAUGCGCUCGGAGGUGGCCUAUGGAGCUGGCGUUAGAAUUUUAUUUUAGUUUCAGAGUGUAAACAUUUGAAGUUUUGGUGUGAAAUUUCUCAAUAAUGGGAGCAUUUGGUAGUUUGGAGCGAAAUUCAUAGUAUUUAGGUUCAUGGUUAGAAAUAUUUGCAAACCUAAUUAUUGAAUGCUUUAUGUAGUGAAAUUUGCAAAUUCUGCAGUUUUGUCAUGCAGUAUUGGCAAACAAAAAACAAUGCAUGUUCUAUGGACCAAAAUUUGCACAUUUUAC